rnacentral:sRNA from 1 species
CCACUUCAAUUUGCUGCGGACAAAUAAAGUGAAUAUGCGAAUCAAUCGCGCCCGCCGUUAGAAUCUUGCCUUCUCCAGCGAUGAUCUCUGUACUCGGUCCGAUAAUGAUGUCAAUCUCGUUUUGUGUGUAGGGGUUGCCAGCCUUCCCGAUCUUGGCAAUCUUCCCAUCCUUGAUGCCGACAUCUGCUUUGACUACGCCCCACCAAUCAAGAAUUAACGCAUUCGUAAUCACCGUAUCUACCGCGCCGUCCGCUCUCGAAAUUGGCGAUUGUCCCAUGCCAUCGCGAAUGA